CACACUAUUUCGUCUUUGGUAAAAGCGCUAACCACAACUGAUACCUAUCCAUUCUGGAUUCCCCAAAAAACACCCAUAAAAAAGGAUAUAACUUCCUAAUGUUACUGUGCUGGCGGUUAGAGGGUCCUCCUUAGAUUGUUUUAUCAACUCUUUGCAAGGGUGCAUCACUUUCCCUAAGAAACCUGCACAACCACUUGCCUCAGAGCGCUAUAUAUCUCAAGACAAUCUUACCAAGACCUAUUACCCUUUUGCUCCAAACUAAAAUUAGUAGCUAUUUUGACAUGACAAAGGAUCUAACUAAUACAGUUUAAAUUAUUUGAAGAAUGAUAUGCAUGCCUUUGCAGUACGGUCAUGGGUCUGCAAAAUGAUUUUUACUAACAAAUGCUUGAUAUUUUCAUGUGUUCUUUUUUAAUAUUCUGUCUACUCCAUUCCAUGUUCAGGUGAAGAGCUAUUGGUUGAACUCUGAUGGUGCCGAUGUGGUUUUCCAUAUGAUAGAUAACUUUCUUCUCUAGUCCUCUACAAGUUAGGUCUCCAGUUCCUUAUUGGCCAGGGGUUAGAUUGCUCGUUCCUUACGUACAUUAUACUCAAAGAUUCUGCACUUUAUGUUUUGACAUCAACUUGGAGAUAUGAGGAAUUUCUUGAACUGUUUCUACCUUUAUCCUUGUAUCUUUUCUUGUUUUCAUAUCUUAUGUUUGUGUAUAGUAGCUUUCCCUGUAAUCAUGUUUUUAUGUAUUUCUCUAUCAAGUAUAAAGAGUAUGAUUUCAUUACAAAGGGUACUGGUGCUUGUAUGUAAGAAUUCAUUUCUGGUAUUUUUGUUGGCAAACAUAGUGAUACCACACUAGCCAAAAAAAGCCCAAUUGUGGACUCUGGUGCUUUAGGCGUUCUCUAACACUACACUAAAUGGAUGCACUGAACAAAUUAUCUUCAAAACUGGUUUGAUUCACUAGUUUUGGAUUAUGAGACAAUAAAAUUCUUUGAGCACAUGUCACAUGCCAUUAAGUUUUUAACAGUUUUCAGUCUUUCAUUCCCCUCCCCUCCUUUUAUUUUUUACAAACAAUCUUUUUCAACUUUUACAUGGUACAUAUGUUGGUCCUUUUGCUGACUCAGAGCUUUGAGAUUUACUUUAAAGACCAGCAUGUCUCAAAUUUUAAAAAUACUUGCAAGAAACUCUCUAUAGUAGAAUGGAAUGCUUAUUCUCUAAUUCUUUUAAGAUAAAUUUGUUUAUCUGAUUCAUUGUUCAUAUGAAGCCAGCCACUCCUUGUAUUUUUGCUCAAGUAGGUAUAUCUUUAUCCGUUCAUGUUGUGUCUUAACCCUCUAGCCAAUCAUGGAAUAUUGAUUCUAGUGCUUCUAAUCAUAUGACCGGGUCAUCAUCUUUUUUCUUAUCAUAAACCACUUGUUCAGGUAUAGAUAAGAGUUAAGUUUGAUUAUGGUUCUUUGUCUUCCAUUGUUGAUAGAAGUCUUAUUUCAGUUUCUUAGUGCUUACCACUUAAAAUUUUUGUUCCAUGUUCCUGAUAUUGAAAUCAGCCAUUUACUUGUCAGUUGUAUUACAAAACUCUUGAUU
rnacentral:lncRNA from 1 species